UACGGAGGGUGCAAGCGUUGUUCGGAUUUACUGGGCGUAAAGGGCGCGUAGGCGGCUUGGUAAGUCGGGUGUGAAAUCCUUCCGCUUAACGGAAGAAGUGCAACCGAAACUGCCUUGCUCGAGUUUAGGAGAGGAGAGCGGAAUUCCCGGUGUAGAGGUGAAAUUCGUAGAUAUCGGGAGGAACACCCGUGGCGAAAGCGGCUCUCUGGCCUAAUACUGACGCUGAGGCGCGAAGGCGCGGGGAUCAAACAGG
rnacentral:rRNA from 1 species